CCUGACGCAGCGACGCCGCGUGGAGGAUGACGCAUUUCGGUGUGUAAACUCCUUUUAUCAAGGAAGAAAAUGACGGUACUUGAUGAAUAAGCACCGGCUAACUCCGUGCCAGCAGCCGCGGUAAUACGGAGGGUGCAAGCGUUAUUCGGAAUCACUGGGCGUAAAGGACGCGUAGGCGGGAUGCCAAGUCUGAUGUGAAAUCCUAUGGCUUAACCAUAGAACUGCAUUGGAAACUGGUGACCUAGAGUAUGGGAGGGGGAGAUGGAAUUAGUGGUGUAGGGGUAAAAUCCGUAGAUAUCACUAGGAAUACCCAAAGCGUAGGCGAUCUCCUGGAACAAUACUGACGCUAAGGCGUGAAAGCGUGGGGAGCAAACGGGAUUAGAUACCCCGGUAGUCCACGCCCUAAACGAUGUUCACUAGUCGUCGGAAUGCUAGUCAUUUCGGUGAUGCACUUAACAGAUUAAGUGAACCGCCUGGGGAGUACGGUCGCAAGAUUAAAACUCAAAUGAAUUGACGG
rnacentral:rRNA from 1 species